rnacentral:sRNA from 1 species
AAAGCUUUCAACUAACAUUGAUUAUCAGCUGUUUUGUACGGAAAACGUGGAAUUUAAAUAAUUUACUGUUUCGCCGCUAUUGGCAAUACGUUUUAGUCAUAUCAUCUGCAACAGACGAUCAUAUAUUUGUGACGGAUUAUCGAUAUAGAUAAAGCUAGGUACAUGUAGCAAUAGCAGUGGAAGCCCGUAUUUGCAAGCCAGUUGAGGGAAGGACAGAAUUUUGAAAAGGAGCAUGUUUUUCAUUUCCACACGUACAUGUGUAUCACUAUGGACAUCUAAUAUUUUUGUGGGAUUUUGUCCAGCAGUUUGCCUUAAAAGAAUAUUUUUAUAUUUAAGUUUCAUAUUUAUGUGGAUUCCAAUAAAAAUCAUACAAACUUC